CUGCCCGGCAUCCAUUGCUUCGCAACUCCGCCGUCGCCGGCCCUAGUCCUAAGCCUUGAAAAGUGAAACCCUCAUUCUCCACGACUGUGCCGGCGCCCACUAGCCACUGCUCCGCGACUCCUCCGGCACCCACUGCUCCGUGACUCCGCCGGCCCCAGCCCCAUCCUGAAACCCUCUGGAUGUGACUCCGCCUGGCAUCGGGCAUCCAUUGCUCUGUGACUUUGCUUGAGGGUAGGUACCUUAUAUAAUGUUAUUAUAUAUAACUAGGAGAGAAAGAGAGAGGCAAGAGGUGAAGGAGGCGAGGGCGUGAUCUGGGAAGGUGAACGG
rnacentral:lncRNA from 1 species